rnacentral:rRNA from 1 species
UGGAUGAGUGGCGAACGGGUGAGUAAUACGUGAGUAACCUGCCCUUGACUCUGGGAUAAGCCCGGGAAACUGGGUCUAAUACUGGAUGCUACAUGUCACCGCAUGGUGGUGUGUGGAAAGGGUUUACUGGUCUUGGAUGGGCUCACGGCCUAUCAGCUUGUUGGUGAGGUAAUGGCUCACCAAGGCGACGACGGGUAGCCGGCCUGAGAGGGUGACCGGCCACACUGGGACUGAGACACGGCCCAGACUCCUACGGGAGGCAGCAGUGGGGAAUAUUGCACAAUGGGCGAAAGCCUGAUGCAGCGACGCCGCGUGAGGGAUGACGGCCUUCGGGUUGUAAACCUCUUUCAGCAGGGAAGAAGCCACAAGUGACGGUACCUGCAGAAGAAGCGCCGGCUAACUACGUGCCAGCAGCCGCGGUAAUACGUAGGGCGCAAGCGUUGUCCGGAAUUAUUGGGCGUAAAGAGCUCGUAGGCGGUUUGUCGCGUCUGCUGUGAAAGCCCGGGGCUUAACCCCGGGUGUGCAGUGGGUACGGGCAGACUAGAGUGCAGUAG